rnacentral:SRP_RNA from 1 species
GGUCGGGGCCUGCGCAAUGUCGGCUUGUGAACUAGGUCAGGCCCGAAAGGGAGCAGCCUUAAGCGAUGCCCGGCAUGUGCCGUGGGUUCCCGGCCUCUU